CAUGCGUGCAAUUUUGGUUGCGUUCCAUGCUAUGUAUAUACACGAAAUGUCGGUAACAGAGUUAUUGACUUUUCCUAAUAUGUGCGAGCGAGAACUGAGAAGGUAUAAGAGCGAACGAGACAUUCAAUAACGAGCUACACCAAGCUACACAGCCUACACAGUAAAAGGAGCAAGCGAAAGAUCAACAAGAACGAAUGGGAUAGUAAUAGAAGUGAGUGAGAUGAGAAUAACAACAUGCUGAAUACUCGAGAAUAUCGGAUUGCGCUUCGUUGACUGUCUUGCUCGCUAAUGUAAUGCAACCAUAUAUCUUGAGAUCGACCCCUGUAUCUAUUAUUUUUCUUAUUUUAACCUUUACAAGACCGGCAUAUUUUUGACUGACUUUUUUGUGCUAGACUAGAACUUGUGCUGUACGAGGAGGAUGGCUGGCAGCAAAAUUUGCUGCAAGAAGAUUCGGCGUACCGACCGCGCGGCGCGGCGUUAUUUUGGCGCGUGAAGUUAACCGCGCGACGCGGCGUCACUUUUGACACGUGAAGUUGACCGCGCGAGAGUGACGAAGCUGUUUCACUCCACCUUUUCGGGUAUCGGUGUUAGAACGUAACGGACGUAAGAUGGACCGGCUCCGGGAUAAUUAAGUGGCAUCGCGAAUCUCUUAAUUGCAUGAUCGCGGCAAAUCUGACAUGGACGCAUGGACCGAUGCACGGGGCAAGUGUCGCACUAUAUUUACCCAAACGCGACGAAUGCAGAAUGAACCGAUUCCAGAACGAGUGGGAUCGCGAAUCACUUGAUCGUGACAAUCCUGAGUUGGAUCGGUUCCGGGACGGAUGACAUCGCGAUAUUUAUUUGAACGUGACGAACACGAAAGAGAGUUGCUCCGAUGUAGAGCAAAUUAUUUUUUAAUAAUUUGUGUGGAAGAGGAAGAAGAAGAAAUAUGACAAUAUCAAAAUAGGAGAGGGAGGCCUAGGAGGGCAUCAGGCGUCGGUGGAGCAACUUUGUAAAUCAUCAUAGCUAUUAUACAUUGCUAAUAACUCCACUGUUGCGCAUCAGUCGGUAAGUGAUAAAAAUUUGUAUUACUAAGGUAACGGAUCUAUGAAAAAUGUAAUAAAUAUAUUGUAUCAACAUCAUUACGAUUAUAUUUCAAAUAACUACAAAACUUCAUGGGUUCGUUAUCUUAAAAUGAAUAAGCUUUGAAAAAUUAUGAAAAGUAUUUAAUAUUGGACUUAUAUUUCAUUAUCCAUUUUUUAAUUGUAAUUUAUAAUUAAAAUUCUAAUUAAUUUCUAUCUGUCUUUUUUAAUAAUUUCUAUCUCUCUAAUAACAUUACAAGUAUUGUUUAUUUGGGGAAAGCUUUAAAAAAAUUAUAAACAGAAAGAUUGAAAAAAUUCGGUUAUUUUCUGUUAUUUUCUGUGAAAUAAGACUAAUCACGAUGUGGAAUGGAACAAUUAUAUUAAUCUCGUCGCAUGCUGUAAGCACCGGCAGAUGUGUUGCUUCACAUGGAAAGUCGAAAAUCCAUAUAGUCAUUAAGUCAUUGUUCUGUUCCACAUAAGUUCUUAACACUACUUUUAAUAAAUUCUAUAUUUUCAAAAAAGAAUUUAUAUAAAUAAUAAUAAUAAUAAAAGAAAAUUAUUUUAUUUUGCGUAGACGAGUAUAAAUAUAAACGGAGGAGUUGCGCAUCUCCACCCCAAAAUUUUUUCUAGCCUAAUUUAAUCUAAUAUUAGUCGCGAUUUGGCCAUGGAUAUCAAAUUAAUCACGUUACAAUUUUAGAUUUGAAAAUGUGGCCAAAUUGCAACUAAAAUUAAAUUGGAUUAGAUUAGGAAAAAUUUUGUGAUAGAGAUACACAGAUGAAGCCUCUCUUCCAGCUAUAUUUAUACUUUUAUCUAUGCAAAAUAAAAUUAUUUUUUAAAAUCUUUUAUUAUUAUCUUUAACCCUCAGUUUUCACAUUAUCAAAAUUUACCAUUGUUACUGGACUAUUUUUUAGGUGUGCUAAAUUUACCGACCAAUUUUUAAUCGCUUAUAUCUCAGAGUUAAAUCAACCAAUUAGAACAUAUUUUUUAAAAAUAAAAGUUUAGAAUCUCACAAAAAUGAGUAUUUUAGCUAAAAUAUCAAAAAUUAAUUUGAUUUAGAAAUAUUUUGAAAAACGUCAAUAAACUUGUUGAAAAAUACGCUCGAGUGUGUCACACCCAGUCUAGGAAUUGAGGAUUUAUUUUAUUAUCUUUAUCUUUAUAACUUUUUUUAGAGCUUGCUCUAAGUAAAUAUUUGUUAUGUUAUUAGAAAAUUGAUAGAAAUUGCUAAAAAAAUUUACAGUCUAUUUGAAGGUAAAACUGUGAUUCGGAAUAAUUAUCAUAAAUUCUCACAAAUAUGAAAUAUUUGAAAAAUUAUGAUAAAUUUUCGCAAGCGAUAAUAUAACACAAAAUAAUAGAGACACGCGGAAACGUCACAUUAAUUAGAAGCAAACUGACAGGAAUUGAAAUAAAAUAACGCUCGAUUUAGGCAGAAUCGGUUUUAUAUCAAUAAGCUGACAAUAUACAGGAUGUUCAAAAUUUUUCAAAUUUAUUUAAGAUUCUUGAAGCUUUUGAAUAGCUUAAUAGACGGUUUUUCUCUCAAAUGUCCCUCCAUGACAUUUCAAAGAAAUCAUUUUAAAACUGAAGCGAAAAUACAUUAUGUA